GAUGAACGCUGGCGGCGUGCCUAAUACAUGCAAGUCGAGCGAAUGGAUUAAGAGCUUGCUCUUAUGAAGUUAGCGGCGGACGGGUGAGUAACACGUGGGUAACCUGCCCAUAAGACUGGGAUAACUCCGGGAAACCGGGGCUAAUACCGGAUAACAUUUUGAACCGCAUGGUUCGAAAUUGAAAGGCGGCUUCGGCUGUCACUUAUGGAUGGACCCGCGUCGCAUUAGCUAGUUGGUGAGGUAACGGCUCGCCAAGGAAACGAUGCGUAGCCGACCUGAGAGGGUGAUGGGCCACACUGGGACUGUGACACGGCCCAGACACCUACGGGAGGCAGCAGUAGGGAAGCUUCCGCAAUGGACGUAAGUCUGCCGGAGCAACGCCGCGUGAGUGAUGAAGGCUUUCGGGUCGUAAAACUCUGUUGUUAGGGAAGAACAAGUGCUAGUUGAAUAAGCUGGCACCUUGACGGUACCUAACCAGAAAGCCACGGCUAACUACGUGCCAGCCGCCGCGGUAA
rnacentral:rRNA from 1 species